UACGUAGGGGGCAAGCGUUAUCCGGAAUUACUGGGUGUAAAGGGAGCGUAGACGGUGAUGCAAGUCUGGAGUGAAAGGCGGGGGCCCAACCCCCGGACUGCUCUGGAAACUGUAUGACUGGAGUGCAGGAGAGGUAAGCGGAAUUCCUAGUGUAGCGGUGAAAUGCGUAGAUAUUAGGAGGAACACCAGUGGCGAAGGCGGCUUACUGGACUGUAACUGACGUUGAGGCUCGAAAGCGUGGGGAGCAAACAGG
rnacentral:rRNA from 1 species